GACGAACGUUGGCGGCGUGCUUAAUACAUGCAAGUCAACUGAAGCAGUGGUAGCAAUAUCGCUUUGGAGGUGGCGCACGGGUGAGUAACACGUAGGUAAUCUGCCUUCAGGUCUGGCAUAACUCCGGGAAACCGGGGCUAAUAGCAGAUGAUGCAGCGGCUCGACAUCGAGACAGUUGUUAAAGCUAUGGCGCCUGAAGAUGAGCCUGCGUCUGAUUAGCUAGUUGGCGGGGUAACGGCCCACCAAGGCAACGAUCAGUAGCUGGUCUGAGAGGAUGAUCAGCCACACUGGAACUGAGACACGGUCCAGACUACUACGGGAGGCAGCAGUAAGGAAUAUUGCUCAAUGGGAGAAAUCCUGAAGCAGCAACGCCGCGUGAGGGACGAAGGGCUUUUGCUUGUAAACCUCUGUAGUGAGAGAAAAAAAUCCCAAUCUUUGGGACAUGAUGGUAUCUCAAAAGUAAGCCCCGGCUAACUACGUG
rnacentral:rRNA from 1 species